GACGAACGCUGGCGGCGUGCUUAACACAUGCAAGUCGAACGGAAAGGCCUCUUUCGGGGGGUACUCGAGUGGCGAACGGGUGAGUAACACGUGAGUAACCUGCCCUUGACUUUGGGAUAACUUCAGGAAACUGGGGCUAAUACCGGAUAGGAGCUCCUGCUGCAUGGUGGGGGUUGGAAAGUUUCGGCGGUUGGGGAUGGACUCGCGGCUUAUCAGCUUGUUGGUGGGGUAGUGGCUUACCAAGGCUUUGACGGGUAGCCGGCCUGAGAGGGUGACCGGCCACCAUUGGACUGAGAUACGGCCCAGACUCCUACGGGAGGCAGCAGUGGGGAAUAUUGCACAAUGGGUGGAAGCCUGAUGCAGCAACGCCGUGUGCGGGAUGACGGCCUUCGGGUUGUAAACCGCUUUCGCUCAUGACGAAGCUUUGUGUGACGGUAGUGGGUAAAGAAGCACCGGCUAACUACGUG
rnacentral:rRNA from 1 species